CGGUCUGUCGCGUCGGAUGUGAAAGCCCGGGGCUUAACCCCGGGUCUGCAUUCGAUACGGGCAGACUAGAGUGUGGUAGGGGAGAUCGGAAUUCCUGGUGUAGCGGUGAAAUGCGCAGAUAUCAGGAGGAACACCGGUGGCGAAGGCGGAUCUCUGGGCCAUUACUGACGCUGAGGAGCGAAAGCGUGGGGAGCGAACAGGAUUAUAUACCCUGGUAGUCCACGCCGUAAACGGUGGGAACUAGGUGUUGGCGACAUUCCACGUCGUCGGUGCCGCAGCUAAC
rnacentral:rRNA from 1 species